CUAUUAUUUAAGGUGUAAAUGUAUUAAAUUUGAGUAGUAUUAGUUAGUUUCUUAAAACUCAAAGAAUUUGGCGGUGUUUUAGUCUAUUCAGAGGAAUCUGUCCUGUAAUUGAUAAUUCACGAGUAAUUUAACUUAGUUUUGUAUUAUUCAGCUUGUAUAUCGCCGUCAUCAGAUCAUUUUUGAAGAAUUGUAAUUUUCUUAGAAUUAAUUAGAUUAUAUGUCAGGUCAAGGUGCAGUUUAUAAUUAAGAAGGAGAUGGAUUACAAUAAAUUUAUUUAUUAUGGAUAUUGGGUUGUUAUAUUCAAUUGAAGGUGGAUUUGAUAGUAAUUUUAUUUAUUGGUGAUUUGAUUUUAGCUCUAAAACA
rnacentral:rRNA from 1 species